rnacentral:rRNA from 1 species
UACAGAGGGGGCAAGCGUUGUUCGGAAUUACUGGACGUAAAGGGCGCGUAGGCGGCCUUCUAAGUCGAACGUGAAAUCCCCGGGCUCAACCCGGGAACUGCGUCCGAUACUGGAAGGCUUGAAUCCGGGAGAGGGAUGCGGAAUUCCAGGUGUAGCGGUGAAAUGCGUAGAUAUCUGGAGGAAUACCGGUGGCGAAGGCGGCGAGUCCUGGACCGACAUUGACGCUGAUGAGCGAAAGCUAGGGAGCAACGGGAUUAAGAUACCCGUAGUAGGUCC